ensembl:snRNA U1 U1 spliceosomal RNA
AUACUUACCUGGUGGGGGAGAUACCAUGAUCACAAAAAUGAUCUGCCCAGGGCAAGGCUCAUCCAUUGCACUCUGGAUGGGCUGACCCUUGCAAUUUCCCCAAAUGUGGGACCUCAACUGCAUAAUUUGUGGUAAUGGGGGACUGUGUUUGUGCUUUCUCCUA